rnacentral:rRNA from 1 species
CACGUAGGGUGCGAGCGUUGUCCGGAAUUAUUGGGCGUAAAGAGCUCGUAGGUGGUUUGUUACGUCUGCUGUGAAAACCUAGGGCUUAACCCUGGGCUUGCAGUGGAUACGGGCAGACUAGAGGUAGGUAGGGGAGAAUGGAAUUCCUGGUGUAGCGGUGAAAUGCGCAGAUAUCAGGAGGAACACCGGUGGCGAAGGCGGGACUCUGGGCCGAUACUGACGCUGAGGAGCGAAAGCGUGGGGAGCGAUCAGG